GAUGAACGCUAGCGGUAGGCCUAACACAUGCAAGCCGAGCGGUAUUGUUUCUUCGGAAAUGCGAGAGCGGCGUACGGGUGCGUAACACGUGUGCAACCUGCCUUUAUCUGGGGGAUAGCCUUUCGAAAGGAAGAUUAAUACUCCAUAAUAUAUUGAACGGCAUCGUUUAAUAUUGAAAGCUCCGGCGGAUAGAGAUGGGCACGCGCAAGAUUAGCUAGUUGGUGAGGUAACGGCUCACCAAGGCGAUGAUCUUUAGGGGGCCUGAGAGGGUGAUCCCCCACACUGGUACUGAGACACGGACCAGACUCCUACGGGAGGCAGCAGUGAGGAAUAUUGGUCAAUGGGUGCAAGCCUGAACCAGCCAUCCCGCGUGAAGGACGACUGCCCUAUGGGUUGUAAACUUCUUUUGUAUAGGGAUAAACCUACCCUCGUGAGGGUAGCUGAAGGUACUAUACGAAUAAGCACCGGCUAACUCCGU
rnacentral:rRNA from 1 species